GCAGUCGAGCGGCAGCACAAGUAAGUUUACUUAUGAGGUGGCGAGCGGCGGACGGGUGAGUAAUGCCUAGGGAUCUGCCCAGUCGAGGGGGAUAACAGUUGGAAACGACUGCUAAUACCGCAUACGCCCUACGGGGGAAAGAGGGGGACCUUCGGGCCUCUCGCGAUUGGAUGAACCUAGGUGGGAUUAGCUAGUUGGUGAGGUAAUGGCUCACCAAGGCGACGAUCCCUAGCUGUUCUGAGAGGAUGAUCAGCCACACUGGGACUGAGACACGGCCCAGACUCCUACGGGAGGCAGCAGUGGGGAAUAUUGCACAAUGGGGGAAACCCUGAUGCAGCCAUGCCGCGUGUGUGAAGAAGGCCUUCGGGUUGUAAAGCACUUUCAGUAGGGAGGAAAGGGUGAGUCUUAAUACGGCUCAUCUGUGACGUUACCUACAGAAGAAGGACCGGCUAACUCCGUGCCAGCAGCCGCGGUAAUACGGAGGGUCCGAGCGUUAAUCGGAAUUACUGGGCGUAAAGCGUGCGCAGGCGGUUUGUUAAGCGAGAUGUGAAAGCCCUGGGCUCAACCUAGGAAUAGCAUUUCGAACUGGCGAACUAGAGUCUUGUAGAGGGGGGUAGAAUUCCAGGUGUAGCGGUGAAAUGCGUAGAGAUCUGGAGGAAUACCGGUGGCGAAGGCGGCCCCCUGGACAAGACUGACGCUCAUGCA
rnacentral:rRNA from 1 species